rnacentral:sRNA from 1 species
GGGGGAGAAGAAAGGAAGCAAGAAGAAGACGAGGAAGAAGAAGCAGCAGCCAACCAAAUCUUAGAUACUUCACCAAGAUGGAGCACGGCCACUGAUAUACACACAGCCAGCGCUUGCCUCCACGUGCGUAUGUCGUGUGUGAUGUGACGACCGCCAUGAAUGCAUGAGGUGGUGUGAUUUUCUCACUUCUUCUUUCUUUUCAGUGACGUACUGUGUUUGUGUUUUGCCGAUUUGGCGCGUACUUACGUCGGGCUUAAUUAUCCCGGAGAUGAUGAGAGGAGAGCUGGCCUGGC